CUGUGUUGGUUGCGGCUGUCCCUUGCGAGAUAUGUCUAAGGGGCCUACUUCUCACCCAUUGUUAAGUCCUACUUUGUCACUAUGAAACUCAAAAGGAAGCUGUAGUUACCAGCCAGGAGAUCAGCUUCAUCCACGAGCUGAGUACUCAAGACGAUUACCCUGCCUGGUCUCCUCUCUUUCAGUAGGUUCCAAAUGCGAUGCCUCGAGAGUGGAUCCAGCCCAGCGGUUGGUUCAUCCAGUAGCAAAACCUGAACAGCACAGAAAACGUUACAGGGCCAUUUAGUCCUCAGGGCAUGGUCAGAAGCAUCCUGAGAAUCCCAUGAGAGGCAGCAGCUCUGCCCAUCGUAUCUCAACAGAGCAGAAGUGGAGGGAGCAGCCAGCAUGUGGAUACAUGCAGUGGUCUGUGGAGACGAUGAGAGACGACUAGAGAGGAAAGCUGGAGAUGAAAUCAGUGGUGGAAGAUUACACGGUGUGUGUGAAGGAAACCACAUCAGAUCCAAAGGACUUGUGCUGCUUUGGAGUCAAGAGCCCCCAAGUGAGGUCUCAUCUACGGCACUUACACCACAGAUCUGCAACUCACAGAGUCCACAUCUGCAGUAAUCACGCAAGAAUGGUGACACUAAUUACAACAUGGGGUUGAUUCCUAAGAAAACAAAGAGUUGCAGAACCCAGGAUACUUGAAGUUUCCAAAGAAGAGCAAGAGAGAAUGAAACCAUAAGACAGGUUUAAGAGUCCACAGAAGUGAUGCAGGGUGACUGCAUACCCAUGAUCCCAGCACUCGGAACACAGGCGAGGGUCUAGAAGUCUGAGGCCAGCCUGGGAUACAGCUUGUGUUCCGGGUCAGACUGACUUAUAAAGUAACAUUUUGAUUAAAUAAAAAAUAAAAGUACACAGAAGACUUCCAAUGAGUUGAAGGACUAUUAUGCAGUAGGGUGUGUGCAGUCUACCUGAGUUCAUUUCCUGUAAUACCAAUACAAAGCAUGCGGUGCGCUACAGACAAAACUUGAGCAAAGAGAAGGAUCUUUGGGAUGUGUAGCUGUUUAGAAGACAAAGCGUUGACCAUAGUGCAGGCAUGGCUUUGGGGGAGGUGAUAUCAGGCAUUAGUGACUUUUGGUCUCGUGAUACAGAGCUUUAAUGCCUUGUGGGCUCAUCAUCUCUUCCCACCUUUCUGCGGUGUCUCCAACCCCCAUUUCUACAUCACUUAUGUUUGUGUUUUCAUCGUAUCCGCCUAGAAGAGAAAUAAAAAGCAACCAAGUGCAUUCUACAGAAAGAGGAUGUGAAUAAGGGAGUGGCUCCCCCCGCCCGCCAUCACCCACCUUCCCUCCCACGUCUAUCAAGAGAACAUCAGAGCAAAAUAUGAAGAGGAAUAAGGAAGAUGCUUCUUUUCCCUGGAAUUCUGGAGACACUGGUUCCAAUGAGUCAUUCAGUGAAGGAUCAGAAUCUAUUUCAUUCUCAAGGACCACACGAUUUGCUCCUCUGUGCUGAAACCAGUAAGACGACUUCAGGAAAAACAAUGGAGACCGUCGAUGUCCGUACUUACCUACACAGACAGGACAGGAGAGUGAAAAAUGGAGAAAUGAAAGUCUCUAAGGAGCUGAGCAGAAAGAGGAGGAUAAUUUCAACAGCAUACAAUGACUUCACAUGAAUUAGUUUUUCUGAGGGGAGAUUUAACUUCACAUGGAAAUGUGCAAUCUUUUUUCAAAGUCUUGAUUUUCCAACACUUGUGAUACCCUUAAAGGAACAUGUUCCUCAAGCUUAAAUCUGAGAAAUGUUCAGUCAGAAAGAUAAGCUGAGCCGCAGCACCCAGCAAGUGUCAUCCUCCACUUAGAGCCAGAAAACUAACAAAACAUCUCAGUACAAGCCAUGAGAAACCAAGUUCAAGUUAUGUGUAUGGGAGUCCAAGAGACUCCCCAAACAAUACAGGCUUUUGCUAUUGUCUCCUGGAGGUUGGAGGUAAGUCCCUAUUGCUACAAACGCCAUGCAAGGGACUCAGGAUUUGGCCUAGAUCUGACUUGAAAUCUACCUCCUUAAGGACUAGUUUUCAAAGUAUGGGACAGUGAUGUGCAAGCUGCCAGUCGAGGGAAGCAGUGAACACAGCAGUAACCAGCAUGAGAAAACAACCCUUCAGGUGCGUGUAUGGUACCUACCCAUAUCUUGGUGGUAACCAGCAGCUCUGUCAUCAGGCUGAAGCCUUAUUCAAUGAGAGGGAAUUCAUGCACGGUGUAGGAAAUCUAGCCAACUACCCAGGGCUGGUGAGGUCAAGGAUCUUAGGACUACUUCCAUUCCCUAAAUCAGCACGGUUCCCAACUGCAUUCUAAAGACUCAUCCUUAUCCUCACAGCUGAGCACAGUUCUCACUUCUCCUCAAGGACGCUUUGUUUUGCAAACAUGGAGACCAUUAUAGAAAGCUACAAUUCGUCAAAAUGUAAAGAACAGCCGAGGGCAGGGCUCUGAGGGCAGGGCUCUCGGCUGAAAUGGAUACACUUAAGGCACAAUCUCUGUGCCUAGGCUUCAGGAAACAGAAGAGAGGGAAGAAAGAUGUUAAGAGGCAGAGGGAUGGAAAACUACAGGGAGACGGGUCUCCGAGACAUGACAAGGAAACUAUGCUCAUCAUAGCUCAACAAUGUGCCUGAAUAAAACCUGAAAAGGGCAAUGAUAGACACACAGAUGUGGGAAAGGGAAAAUCUCACAGGGCCCCACCCCCAACAAAGAA